CUUCAGAGGCCUCUGGACUCAGCAAACAGCCUGAAUAUUGAAACAGUAAGGACCAAGCCUCACUCUGUUCUUGCAAUAUGUUUGGAAAGUAACAUCUGAUCCCAGAGUAAUGUUCCUUCCCUCCUUGAACCCCACAGAGAAGUUCCAUAGAGGUUGGACGAUCCACAUCUAGAGAAGAAUUUUUGGGGGACAGAGAUGGGAUAUGUGCUGAGAAAAUUUGCUGAAAAUGAGUUUUGUGGAGUUCCCUGCUAUUAUGGACCCUCAGAAGUGCAACUAGCUUCCCUUUGGUCUCCUUACUUGACCAAUGGUGCGCUGUAAGGAACCUCUGUGAUUUCAUCUGUUACAUGAUUCUGAGGGUCACAUUUCCCUUCUUGUUAUGGCAAGUGGAGAGUAACCACACCCAGCAGAAUUUGCUAUUGGAGUUUAGAAGCAGGGUAAUCCUAUCACCAUGUCCAAUGGAUUCUUCUCUGAAAUCCCACAGCA